UGGCCAAAUUUAAAAAACUGGUGAUGGUUGAACUUAUCUGUGAAUAUACUAAUUCAAUAAAUUAUAUAUGAGUAGGUUUACGGUGUAUAAAUUAUAUCGCAAUUAUUUUAAAACAAAAUGGACUCAGCCCUUCCCUAUGCAGGCUCCAUUCUAGAGAAGAAAGUCUGCAGGAAGCACAUCACCCCACAAACGGAGAGUUCCCACGUGACAUAGGCCCAUGAGGGAGACGCAGCAUGGGCCAUGAGACAAGGCAAAGACUACUGGGGAACAGGUGUUAGCGAAGGCUGCUCUGGAGAAAUGACUUUUUAAAAUACCUUAUUUUACAGCUUUACUGAGUUAUAUAUUCAAAUGUGCAAGUCAAUGAUAUUUAGUAAAUUUACAAUGUCAUGCAACCAUCACUAUAAUCCAGUUAUGAAACACUUUCAUCCACCUGAUAAGAUUCUUUAAUCCUAUAUACAGUUAGUCCUGUUCCACUAGCUGGACUAACCACUAAUCAAUUUUCUGUCCUUUAGAUUUGCCUUUUCUGGAAAUUUUAUAUAAAUGGAAUCAUGAUAUAUGAUCUCACAUGUCUGGCUUCUUUCACUUGGCAUGUUUCGAAGGUCCACAUUGUAGCAGUAGUUUAUGACUUUUUACUGUGCAUAGUACUCAAUUGUAUGCACAGACCCUGUUGUGUUCAUUCAUUCCACAGGUGAUGGACACUUAUGUUGCUUCCAGUUGGGGGCUAUUAUGAAUGAAGCAGCUAUAAACCCUUCACAGCUAGUCUUCAUGUGGAUGUGUAUUUCCAUUUCUCAGGUAGCUUCCUAGGAGUGGAAUUGCUGGGCUAUGUGGUGCAUUUAACCUUUUUAAAAACUGCCACACUGUUUUCCAAAGUCUCACCAUUUUACAUUCUGUAGGGAAGUGAUAUUGAAGCUGAGACCUCACAGAUGAGGCGGAGCUGGCCUUGCAAGAAGGAGGGAGCGUACAGCUGCAGUGCAGACAGGGCCUGGCAGCACGUGUGAAGGCUAGGGGAGGUAAAAACUUACCUGGACAGAGCAGCUGGUUCCCUUAGGGAAGCGGUUGGAAGGCAGGUGCAAUGUCUGGCACUCCAGCAGCAACUUUGGAUCAUGAUGUUGUGGAGAACUUGGGACUGGAAAUCACAUACAGUUAACAACAAGAAAGAAAAAAGUUUGGGAGUAUCUACAUUGCCCAACUUCAGGGAGUACCCUUUAUGUUGUAUACUAUGGUAAAUAGAAUACAGAAUACAAUAGGAAAGAUAUCCCCAAAAUUUGCAAAGCAACACCCUGGAGCCUGGGCCACUGAUUCUAGGGUGCCAAAUCAGCCUCAACCAUCUACCUCUGAUCAUCAGUCACAUAAGAGAGAAACAAACUACACUGUGAGCAACUGCUAUUUGAGGAUUUUCUGUUAACUGCAGCUGAAUCUACCCAUAACAUCCCAAGUCUAAAACUUAGCCCAUAUCCUCCUUUCCUCUGCCCAAAUUCAUUUGUGCCCAGGAUGAGCAAUUGUUGAUUCCUUUCAGGAGAAGCCCCACUUUACCCUUAAUGGUGACCCCACAAGACAACCCACAGAAGUGGCAUAGUCAGGAUUUCCCCAAAGUCCACCAAAGUCUGACUUAAGUCUCUCUUGGGCUUAUCCUGUGUUUGAUGAUCUAUGGCCAACCAUUCAAAACUUAGUAGCUUCAAACAUCAGUUGACCUCCCAUGGUUUUUCUGGGCUUACCAGGCAUUGCUAACUUAGGAUCUCCCAGGGGGCUGGAAGAAGGAGUCAUCUGAAAGUGCGACAGGGCUGGGCAUCCAAAGUGCCUCCCUCAUACAGCGGGCAGGCGGUGAGGACCGGGAGCUGAAUCGAGGCUGCCACCGGCACCUCUCCCAGCAUGGAGGCGGGAUUCCAAGGAGUGUCCCAGGAGUGAGCACCCCAGGAUACUAGGCGGUGAGUCUUCUCAUGCUCCAGCCUUGAAAGCCAUAUGGCAUCGCUUCUGCCAUGUGGUUGGGGCCAGCCCAAGUUCAAGGGCAAGGAACCACCCAGGGUGCAAAUCCCAGGAGGUGUGGUGUCACAGAGGUAGGAGUCUGGAGCUUGGAGGGAGGCUGGACCAGAGACACGGCUUGGGCACCAGCAGCAGCAUGUACGUGCUAACCAAAAGCCAGGGAAUGGAGGCGUUCUGUGCACUCUUGAGCGUGUACGUGGUGUGUGGGUGUGUGUAUAUGUGUGGGUGUGUGUACUGUGUGCUGUGUGGUAGGUGCAGUGUGUGAAGUGGGUCUUUGUGCCUGUACAUGGUUGGGAGCUGGAGGCUGGCAGAGAAUAACUGGGAUUCGAAGGAAACGUGUGCCUUUCCAUCAGCUUUGGGGGGUUGGGCUCCCGUUUCUGCUGCCUCCCACUUUCUGCCUGGAGCGCCUCCGCCACCUCCAGAGUCACCGGGCCUCUGUCAGGCAGCCCGCGUCCCCCUCACUCUCCAGCAGGCCCGGGCGGAGGCUGCCCAGUGAGGCAGGCAAGGCUCGUGAAGGCUGCCCUGCCAGCAGCCCCCAGAGGACACCAUUCUUGUCACCAAAGGCCUUUGGGGACGGUGAAGGGGUGCUGUCCACCCGCCCAGGCCCUUGGGUCUGAUAUAUGCAAAGGUCACUCAGCCAAAAGGAGUUCUGGGUUCCGCUCUGCCGUGUGACUGUGGGGACAUCAUGUGCGUUCUCUGAGCCAAAUAAAACGACUGAACGAGA